AUUUCACUUAGAGCUUGUUGCUAAUGCUUUGCGUCUCUGCCCUUGUUACCUGUGAGCUGCAAGAAGACCAGAUAAAGAGUUAAUGGGUAAAAGGACCUCUUGUGAGGCAACCUGGCUGCUGCAAUAUCUGGUGCUUGAGGUUUUACUUCAUGGAAACUUAAAACUUCGGCCUAACAGAGUUGGCUGCUCGCCUGCUUGGAUGGCAGUGGUUUUUCCUAAGCCUGUCUGGAACGCUAAGGCUGAAGGCUCUGCUUUCGUGGCACUGGAGGCCUCUCUUGCAGCCACAGAUGACGGCAUCUCGCCCUCUGGUGGGUAAAAGCAAAACAGUACGGAAGCCUUGCUCCUUGUAUGAAGAAAUAAUAAUUAAAAUUAGUAGUGUGGUGGUAGAAGAGGGAAAAA